rnacentral:misc_RNA from 1 species
GAAAUGCGAUACGUAGUGUGAAUUGCAGAAUUCAGUGAAUCAUCGAAUCUUUGAACGCACAUUGCGCCCUUUGGUAUUCCAAGGGCAUGCCUGUUCGAGCGUCAUUUGUACCCUCAAGCUUUGCUUGGUGUUGGGCGUUUUUGUCUUUGGCCCGCCAAAGACUCGCCUUAAAAUGAUUGGCAGCCGGCCUACUGGUUUCGCAGCGCAGCACAUUUUUGCGCUUGCAAUCAGCAAAAGAGGACGGCAAUCCAUCAAGACUCCUUCUCACGUUUGACCUCGGAUCAGGUAGGGAUACCCGCUGAACUUAAGC